AGAAUCAACGCUGGCGGCGUGCCUAACACAUGCAAGUCGAACGAGAAAGGGGAGCAAUCCCUGAGUAAAGUGGCGACCGGGUGAGUAACACGUGACUAACCUACCCUCGAGUGUGGAAUAACAUCGGGAAACCGAUGCUAAUACCGCAUAACAUCGGCGCUUUUAAGAGAUGCCGAUCAAAGGAGCAAUCCGCUUGAGGAGGGGGUCGCGGCUGAUUAGCUAGUUGGCGGGUAACGGCCCACCAAGGCGAGGAUCGGUA
rnacentral:rRNA from 1 species